GACGAACGCUGGCGGCGUGCUUAACACAUGCAAGUCGAGCGGUAAGGCCCUUUCGGGGGUACACGAGCGGCGAACGGGUGAGUAACACGUAUGCAACCUACCUAUAACUGGGGAAUAGCCUUCCGAAAGGAAGAUUAACACCGCAUAACAUCACGAAACGGCAUCGUUUUGUGAUCAAACCUCCGGGGGUUAUAGAUGGGCAUGCGUAACAUUAGCUAGUUGG
rnacentral:rRNA from 1 species